AGCUCCAAUAGCGUAUAUUAAAGUUGUUGCGGUUAAAAAGCUCGUAGUUGGAUUUCUGCUUGUCAUCGGCCGGUAUGUGCUUUGCACGUUAUUUGGAUCGGUGCGGGCAUCCUCGUGGGGUGCGUCUCUGUUCUUAACUGCAGCAGGGCGUGAUUCACGACUUUUACUUUGAGGAAAUUAGAGUGUUCACGGCAAGCAAUUGCUUGAAUACAUUAGCAUGGAAUAAUAAUAUAGGACUUUGGUUCUAUUUUGUUGGUUUCUAGGACUAAGGUAAUGAUUAAUAGGGACAAUUGGGGGCAUUCGUAUUGACGCGUCAGAGGUGGAAUUCUUAGAUUGCGUCACGACGAACUACUGCGAAAGCAUUUGCCAAGGAUGUUUUCA
rnacentral:rRNA from 1 species